rnacentral:rRNA from 1 species
UACGUAGGGGGCAAGCGUUGUCCGGAUUUAUUGGGCGUAAAGAGCGUGUAGGCGGCUUUACAGGUCCGUUGUGAAAACUCGAGGCUCAACCUCGAGACGCCGGUGGAAACCGUAAAGCUAGAGUCCGGAAGAGGAGAGUGGAAUUCCUGGUGUAGCGGUGAAAUGCGCAGAUAUCAGGAAGACCACCCGUGGCGAAGGCGGCUCUCUGGGACGGUACUGACGCUGAGACGCGAAAGCGUGGGGAGCGAACAGG